rnacentral:rRNA from 1 species
GACGAACGCUGGCGGCGUGCUUAACACAUGCAAGUCGAGCGGUAAGGCCCUUUCGGGGGUACGACGAGCGGCGAACGGGUGAGUAACACGUGGGUGACCUGCCUUUAGCUCUGGGAUAAGCCUGGGAAACUGGGUCUAAUACCGGAUAUGACCCUAUGGCGCAUGUUGUGGGGUGGAAAGCCUUGUGCGGCUAGGGAUGGGCCCGCGGCCUAUCAGCUUGUUGGUGGGGUGAUGGCCACCAAGGCGACGACGGGUAGCCGGCCUGAGAGGGCGACCGGCCACACUGGGGACUGAGACACGGCCCAGACUCCUAU